rnacentral:rRNA from 1 species
UACGUAGGGCGCAAGCGUUGUCCGGAAUUAUUGGGCGUAAAGAGCUCGUAGGUGGCUUGUCACGUCGGGUGUGAAAGCUUGGGGCUUAACUCCAGGUCUGCAUUCGAUACUGCCGUGCUUGAGGACUGGAGAGGAGACUGGAAUUUACGGUGUAGCGGUGAAAUGCGCAGAUAUCCGGAGGAACACCGGUGGCGAAGGCGGCUUCCUGGACCGACACUGACGCUGAGGCGCGAAAGCGUGGGGGAGCGAACAGG